UGUAGAAGUGAUGAUUUCAUAUUACCGCCCCAGUCUGAUGUUAGCUGACUGAUUGGUUACCGAACUGAUCUACA
rnacentral:snoRNA from 13 species